AUGCUGCAUGGCCAAAAACAAGCAAACAAAAAAUACUUGUUGUGUAGAUCAGCACCCCUCCCUAGCCUAGGCAUUACUAUGUUUUCAUUGCACAGUCAAUAUUUUACUGGAUAUGCAGCUAAAUCAUUCUUACUUCUUACCCACCUCCAUUCUCAUUUUUCUUUUAGAUCCACAGGAUUAGAAGAUGUUCAACAAAAUCCCACAGAGAGUUUCUCCUCUCAAAGUCCAUGUGGUUCGAUGGGGCUAUCAAUCACAGUAAGCCAUAAUGCUGGUCUCAGAAUGACCCAAGAACUCCCUAUCAUGGUAUAAGUAAGCAAGUAAGUAAGUUCAGUUGUGUCUGACUCUUUUGCAACCCCAUGGACUGAAGCCCACCAGGCUCCUCUGUCCAUGGAAUUCUCCAGGCAAGAAUACUUGGGUGGGUAGCCAUUCCCUUCUCCAGGGGAUCUUCCUGACCCAGAUACUGAGCCUACGUCUCCUGCAUUGCAGCCAUAUUCUUUACUAUUAGUGCCACUUGGGAAGCCCUAUCAUAGUAUCCUGGCUACAAUAGUUGAUUCAGAAAUGAGUGUGUGAAACUCAAGGAACAAAAUCUUUCUUUAGAAAUUUAUAUAACUUAGAUGAAAAUUUUUGUCCACUAAAAUCCUAGAGCUGAAGGAAUAUGGAUUGAGGACAUGCAGUUGCCAUCUUCCUCAUCACUUAAAGGAAAUCCUCUGUGUGGCAGGAGAUGAGCAAAUAAGAUGGAAAAAUUGGGGGUGGGGGAAAUGAAUCCUGGCAGCAUCGAGGCUCCAAUCCCAGGCCAUAAAGUUUUCAGAGUUUCUCUGGUUCAGUUCUUUCUUUUAUUUGUUUAUUUUUCUGGGUCUUAGUUGCUCAGGAUCUUUGAUCUUUAUUACUGCUUGCAGGUUGGACUAUAAAGAAAGUUGAGAGCCGAAGAAUUGAUGCUUUUGAACUGUGGCAUUGGAGAAGACUCUUGAGAGUCCCUUGGACUGCAAGGAGAUCCAACAAGUCCAUCCUAAAGGAAAUCAGUCCUGAAUAUUCAUUGGAAGGACUGAUGUUGAAGCUGAAAACUCCCAUACUUUGGCCACCUGAUGUGAAAAACUGAUUUAUUUGAAAAGACUCUGAUGCUUGGAAAGAUUGAAGGCAGGAGGAGAAAGAGACAACAGAGUAUGAGAUGGUUGGAUGGCAUCUCCGACUCAGUGGACAUGAAUUUGAGUAAACUCUGGGAGUUGGUGAUGGAUAGAGGUCGCACACGACUGAGCAACUUCACUUUCACUUUUCAGUUUCAUGCAUUGGAGGAGGAAAUGGCAACCCACUCCAGUAUUCUUGCGUGGAGAAUCCCAGGGACAGGGGAGCCUGGUGGGCUGCCGUCUAUGGGGUCGCACAGAGUUGGACAAGACUGAAGCGACUUAGCAGCAGGAGCAGCAGCAGAGGCCUGACGUGCUGCAGUCUAUGGGGUCACAGAGUUGGACACGACUGAGCGACUAAACUGAACUGAACUGAACUGAACUGAACUACUGCUUGCAAGAUCUUUAGUUACUGCAUCUGGGAUCUAGUUCCCUGAGCAGAGAUUGAACCUGGCCCUGUGCAUUGGGAGCAUGGAGUCUUAGCCAUUUGACCACCAGGGAAGUUCUCAUUCUUUCUUUAUGUCUGAAAAGUGUAAGUGUGAGUUUCUCAGUCAUGUCUAACUCUUGGUGACCCAAUGGACCAUAGCUUGCCAGGCUACUCUGUCCAUGGAUUUUUCCAGGCAAGAAUACUGGAGUGGGUAGCCAUUCCCUUCUCCCAGGAAUAUUCCCAAUCCCAGGAUUGAACCUGUGUCCCCCGCAUUGCAGGCAGAUUUUUUACCAUCUGAACCACCAGGAAAACCCUUUUUUUAUGUCUUAUUCUCCCCAAUUAUUAAAAACUCUUUUUUGUUUAAGUAGGCUUGAUUCAGGUUGGUCACUUGUGUUAGAAAGUAUCCUAACUAAUUUAUACUUUAGGUGGCUUUCAAGUCUUGCCAUUGUAAAGAGCACUGGGAAGAAACUCAGUGGAUAUAUUUUCUGCAUACGUGCCUGCUCUAGUUUCCCAUAAAAAUAUGUUCCGAGAAUAAGUCAUUGGGUCAAAGAAUAUGCAAAUCAGUGAGGCUCUUGACCAGUAUUGUGAAAUUGCUCUCUGAAAGAUUGUCCAGUUUAUAUUUUCUCUAUGGUGGAUAUAGUUUCCUAUUUUCAUACAGUCAUGAUAAUCAUGAAUAGUAUUAAAAAAAAAAUCCACCAUUAGGUAAACGCCUACUGCUUUGAAUUGAUACUGCUCCUGUGUUUCCAAAUACGUCUUAAUAGAAUAAUAAGAACAGGAAAAAAAAAAGAUCAAAUGUGAAUGGGAAUUUGGAAAGAAAUCAGAAGGAAAGGGAAGGACCUCAAAUGUGUUCUGAGAGGUUUACCGCUGUGAAUACAUCAACCCUGGUUUUUCCCCUAAACAGGUUUUUGAAACUGGCUGAGCCAGUAUGAAUGUUUCAGGGAGAAAUAAAUUUUAAGACAUGAAUAGAAGCCCUACCCUG
ensembl:lncRNA